AGUGGAAAAUCCUCUCAGAGAUGUUAGAUCGUUGCUUUCACCUGUUCUAAAUAUAAUCUGGCUUUUAUUAGAGAUUGAUAAAUGACAAGAUAACCCACAAGUUAUUCCACUGAGGCUGGGGAGAGGAGAGAGCGUGAUUCUGGCCCCAGCAGAGAGGAACGUGCCUUGCACUAUGUAGAUGCUCACGGAAGAGUUGGUGGAUGAAUGAAGCCGGAAGCUAGACCACCAGCUGAAUGAAUCAGCUCACAGACAUGCUGGAAGAAUUUUUCAAAUGGUUUUUGCGAGAAAGUUCAAACCCUGGAAUGACUAAGUCGCUGGAAGAAUUUGGACUUUGUGAGGGGAAUUUGCACUUGGUAUGAAUCACCCAGUCACUGAUUCCUGCAGUGAGAAGACCUUUCGGAAAGCUUCUGGGUCAGCCCCCUCGUACACAUGGGGAAACCGAGGCUCAAGGAGGGGAAGGACUUCAGCCAAGGUCCCACAGCAUGUCUGUGGAAAUGACAGGACUGGAAUCAGGUCUAGCUCCUGGAACAGCUUUGGAUUUGCAAGAAGCUCUCAAGCACCCAGUCUCCAUAGGUGGGCACAUUUUCCAAACAGUAGAGGAACAGAAAGAACAAGAGGGUUCUGAGGAGUUAGAACUCACCAUAGAGUUAUGGAAGGAAUGGGGAAGGGAUUGCCGGAAGGUAUUUUAUAUGAAAUAGCUCAUUUAAUCCUCCCCAGGAUCCUAUUAGGCAGUGGUUCUAAACUAGGGUUGAUUUUGCCCCCAGAGGACAUUUGGCAAGAUCAGGGGACAUUUUAGGUUUGUCACAGCUUGAGUGGGAGUUGCUACUGGCAUCUCUUGGCAGUGAAUACCCUAUGUGGUAGAGGCCAGGGAUACCGCUAAACAUCCUGCAAUGCACAGGACAGCCUCACAACAAAGAAUUAUCCAGCCCAAAAUGUCAAUAGUGUUGGGUCUGAGAAGCCCUGCUAUGCAGAGGGCGCUUGUAUAUACAUAUCAAUUUAACAGCCAAGAAAGCCGAGGCUCAGAAAGUGUAGCCACUCGCUAGCCACGUGGUCUUGGGCAAAUUAGCCUCUCUGUGUCUCAGUUUCCUUAUCUGUAAAAUGGAGGCA
rnacentral:lncRNA from 1 species